GAUGAACGCUGGCGGCGUGCUUAACCCAUGCAAGUCGAACGAUGAAGCCCAGCUUGCUGGGUGGAUUAGUGGCGAACGGGUGAGUAACACGUGAGCAACCUGCCCUUAACUCUGGGAUAAGCCUGGGAAACUGGGUCUAAUACCGGAUAGGAGCGUCCACCGCAUGGUGGGUGUUGGAAAGAUUUAUCGGUUUUGGAUGGACUCGCGGCCUAUCAGCUUGUUGGUGAGGUAAUGGCUCACCAAGGCGACGACGGGUAGCCGGCCUGAGAGGGUGACCGGCCACACUGGGACUGAGACACGGCCCAGACUCCUACGGGAGGCAGCAGUGGGGAAUAUUGCACAAUGGGCGCAAGCCUGAUGCAGCGACGCCGCGUGAGGGAUGACGGCCUUCGGGUUGUAAACCUCUUUCAGUAGGGAAGAAGCGAAAGUGACGGUACCUGCAGAAGAAGCACCGGCUAACUACGU
rnacentral:rRNA from 1 species